GAAUAAAUUCCAAGCGGAAAGUUCGAUAGCGACGUUCUGUCCUAUCGAUUGGCAUCUCAGUCUCAUUCGGAUUGGAGAUUCGACGCCAUUGCACCUGCUUGUCCCAUACUGGCAAUCAGAGGCAUUAUCAUUCCACGUCACGUUGUCCAAUCUACAGCACCGCCACCUUGGAGGUUAGGAAAAGUCAAACUAUUAGCUCAGAGCGAUGCAUGAUGUAAGUCGUCGAACUUCUGUCCCUUCAACGAAGA